rnacentral:rRNA from 1 species
GUUCCAGACUCCUACGGGAGGCAGCAGUGGGGAAUAUUGCACAAUGGGGGAAACCCUGAUGCAGCGACGCCGCGUGAGUGAAGAAGUAUUUCGGUAUGUAAAGCUCUAUCAGCAGGGAAGAUAAUGACGGUACCUGACUAAGAAGCCCCGGCUAACUACGUGCCAGCAGCCGCGGUAAUACGUAUGGAGCAAGCGUUAUCCGGAUUUACUGGGUGUAAAGGGAGCGCAGGCGGCGCGCCAAGUCUGGUGUGAAACCCCGGGGCUCAACCCCGGGACUGCAUUGGAAACUGGCGUGCUGGAGUGUCGGAGGGGCAGGCGGAAUUCCUGGUGUAGCGGUGAAAUGCGUAGAUAUCAGGAGGAACACCGGUGGCGAAGGCGGCCUGCUGGACGACAACUGACGCUGAGGCUCGAAAGCGUGGGGAGCAAACAGGAUUAGAUACCCUCGUA